CUGAUAACUGCCACUUGUGUCCGUUGUUGACACUUUGUUGUGAUCGUCGUCGUUGGGAUGAUGACUGAUGUUGGCGUUGUUGUUUACGCAAGUUAUUAAUGUGCAACAAUAUGGUGGUGUUGUUACUGUUGUUGUCGUUGUCGAUGUCGUUGUCGAUGUCGUUGUUGUUGUACGAUGGUGAUGAUUGUGCUUUUGUAAAAUCAGUCACAUGAAGAACGCUCUUAUGAAUCUUAACUUUAUUGAGAUUUCAACAUGUCGUUUCACGCAUUGGCAAGUUGGAAAAUAUCGAUCGUACUUACUUUCUUAUUACUGCCACGGAUUUUUAUCAUAAUCAGGUAAUAUUUAAGUCACUAAGACAUCAAAAAAUUAAGAUUUUGUCCUGCACGAGAAAGUGUGAAAACAAGAGAGAACUCUUAUUACUGCGCUCGUCACUACUGCGUUGCGUAUAAAGAUAAAUGACCAUCAUGCACAUAAGAAUAUAACUCUUGGGUAACUACUAGCUUCUGUCGAUGUUUAUGUCGUUGCUACUGGUGAGUAGCAGGGCAGCAUAUAUGAUGGUCGAUAAGUGUAGACACUUGGAGGAGAAAUCAAAUUGGAUCUCUCAUUUUCUAUUUAUUUACCCCCCACAUACAUUCAUACGUAUAAUGUAAGGAAUGCUUAUGCAUGGUUUCUCACGCUCAUAACUGCGCGAUAUGCUUAAUGAAAACCACUUAUUCGUUUAGUUUUUAUACUGACUAUCUUGUCAAAUUAUCUUCCCAGAAUUUAAUAGAAGAUGAAAAGAAAUCAUUCCUGUCAACAUUCGAGAAGGUUGCCCAAACAGGAACACCAUACGCUGAUCUUAUCCAAAACAUUGUUUGAUAAACAUUGCCUCGCAAUGCAUAUACAGUAGGAAGAAAAUGAUCUUCCAUAGUCAUAGAAUUCAUAAAAUAUUAUUAGGUAUUUGUAAAAUUAUUCAAGUAAUAGUAAAUAAAUUAUUUUGAAAUGUCUUACAGAAAUCUCUUACAUUCAAAC